UACGGAGGGUGCAAGCGUUAAUCGGAAUUACUGGGCGUAAAGCGCGCGUAGGCGGUCUGAUAAGUCGGAUGUGAAAGCCCCGGGCUCAACCUGGGAAUUGCAUUCGAUACUGUCGGGCUAGAGUUUGGUAGAGGGUGGUGGAAUUCCCGGUGUAGCGGUGAAAUGCGUAGAUAUCGGGAGGAACAUCAGUGGCGAAGGCGACCACCUGGACCAAAACUGACGCUGAGGUGCGAAAGCGUGGGGAGCAAACCGG
rnacentral:rRNA from 1 species